GUGGAUGUGGCGCAGUUGGUUAGCGCGCCAGAUUGUGGCUCUGGAGGCCGAGGGUUCGAGUCCCCUCAUCCACCCCA
rnacentral:tRNA from 1 species